AGCGAACGCUGGCGGCAGGCUUAACACAUGCAAGCCGAGCGGGCACUUCGGUGUCAGCGGCAGACGGGUGAGUAACACGUGGGAACGUACCCUUUGGUUCGGAAUAACGCUGGGAAACUAGCGCUAAUACCGGAUACGCCCUUUUGGGGAAAGGCUUGCUGCCGAAGGAUCGGCCCGCGUCUGAUUAGCUAGUUGGUGGGGUAAUGGCCUACCAAGGCGACGAUCAGUAGCUGGUCUGAGAGGAUGAUCAGCCACACUGGGACUGAGACACGGCCCAGACUCCUACGGGAGGCAGCAGUGGGGAAUAUUGGACAAUGGGCGCAAGCCUGAUCCAGCCAUGCCGCGUGAGUGAUGAAGGCCUUAGGGUUGUAAAGCUCUUUUGUCCGGGACGAUAAUGACGGUACCGGAAGAAUAAGCCCCGGCUAACUUCGUG
rnacentral:rRNA from 1 species